GCUGCGGAGUGUCUGUGCGCUGGGACGGGGACUAGGGCAAAGUGCGUGACUGCGCCGCGCGGCUCUGCGCGGGUUUUGCGCGUGUGUGGCUGAGGGUUUCCUGUCUUGGAAAAUGACGAAUCUGAAACUGCCCCCAUAUCUUGGAAUUGAAGGAAUUCUACAUUUUUCAUCCUCAGAGCAAGCAUGCAAACCCCUUGUCUUCCAGAGGACUCCAGAAAGCCAGGAUCACAAUGGGGUAUCUACUCUUCUAAAGACUUCAUGCAUGGCAACCAAAACAUCAGACUCCAUCUUUUCCCCUAUAAAUAAAUUGGUAAGAGUAAAUAAAUUUAUUAAAGGUGGAAUUUCUGCUGUUUCUUUCCCCCUCUCCCAGUUUCACUGCUGCUUUCUCAAAGGAGUUAGUGCAACAUGUUCCUGCCUUCCUGCAUGGAUGUCAAAGAGAUGUUGUCAGAACCUGCUUGUGAAGGGUAAGGUCACAGGUGUGCAAUGGUCCCAAGGGGGAGCGGCAGUAACAGCUCUGUAACAAGACAUGGUCUUCUAAUAUAAACCCGCUGCAAGUGGUGUCCAAAGCCAGGCCUCAGGAAUUGCUCCACAAUGAAAACAGAUCAAGCAGGCUGCAAAAACCACU